rnacentral:rRNA from 1 species
CCUACGGGAGGCAGCAGUGGGGAAUAUUGCACAAUGGGGGGAACCCUGAUGCAGCGACGCCGCGUGGGUGAAGGAGUGCUUCGGCAUGUAAAACCCUAUCGGCAGGGAAGAAGCAAGACGGUACCUGACUAAGAAGCCCCGGCUAACUACGUGCCAGCAGCCGCGGUAAUACGUAGGGGGCGAGCGUUAUCCGGAUUCACUGGGUGUAAAGGGAGCGUAGACGGCCAUGCAAGCCAGGGGUGAAAGCCCGGGGCCCAACCCCGGGACUGCCCUUGGAACUGUGCGGCUAGAGUGCGGGAGGGGCAGGCGGAAUUCCUGGUGUAGCGGUGAAAUGCGUAGAUAUCAGGAGGAACACCGGCGGCGAAGGCGGCCUGCUGGACCGCGACUGACGUUGAGGCUCGAAAGCGUGGGGAGCGAACAGGAUUAGAUACCCGUGUAGUC